rnacentral:rRNA from 1 species
GACGAACGCUGGCGGCGUGCUUAACACAUGCAAGUCGAACGGAAAGGCCCUGCUUUUGUGGGGUGCUCGAGUGGCGAACGGGUGAGUAACACGUGAGUAACCUGCCCUUGACUUUGGGAUAACUUCAGGAAACUGGGGCUAAUACCGGAUAGGAUCUCCUGCUGCAUGGUGGGGGUUGGAAAGUUUCGGCGGUUGGGGAUGGACUCGCGGCUUAUCCGCUUGUUGGUGGGGUAGGGGCUUACAAAGGCUUUGAAGGGUAGCCGGCCUGGGAGGGUUACCGGCCACAUUGGGACUGAGAGACGGCCCAGACGCCUACGGGGGGCAGCAGUGGGGAAUAUUGCACAAUGGGCGGAAGCCUGAUGCAGCAACGCCGCGUGCGGGAUGACGGCCUUCGGGUUGUAAACCGCUUUCGCCUGUGACGAAGCGUGAGUGACGGUAAUGGGUAAAGAAGCACCGACUAACUACGUG